UGCGUGUGUAUGUCAUGGGGUUCGAACCCCACCUUGAACCCCACCAUUGCAAAACAUUAACUUCAAUGUGGUCUUUAGUCAUUUU